AACGCACAUUGCGCCCCUUGGUAUUCCAUGGGGCAUGCCUGUUCGAGCGUCAUUUGUCUCUCAAGCUGUGCUUGGUGUUGGAUGUUUGUCCAUUCUCUUGUGCCUGGACUCAUCUCAAAGCAAUUGGCAGCCAGUGUUUUGGUUUACUAGUGCAGCACAUUUUGCACUUGUAGCUUAGAUACUCGCAACCCACAAGAAUUUUUACUCUUGACCUCGGAUCAGGUAGGGAUACCCGCUGAACUUAA
rnacentral:misc_RNA from 1 species